UACGUAGGGGGCGAGCGUUGUCCGGAUUUACUGGGCGUAAAGCGCGUGUAGGCGGUACUCUAAGUCCGGGGUGAAAUCCGGGGGCUUAACCCCCGAACGGCGCCGGAAACUGGAGCGCUUGAGUGUCGGAGAGGGGAGUGGAAUUCUCGGUGUAGCGGUGAAAUGCGUAGAGAUCGAGAGGAACACCGGUGGCGAAGGCGGCUUGCUGGGCCUUACCUGACGCUGGAGGAGCGAAAGCGUGGGGAGCGAACAGG
rnacentral:rRNA from 1 species